rnacentral:rRNA from 1 species
GACGAACGCUGGCGGCGUGCUUAACACAUGCAAGUCGAACGGAAAGGCCCUGCUUUUGUGUGGUUCUCGAGUGGCGAACGGGUGUGUAACACGUGAGUAACCUGCCCUUUACUUUGGGAUAUCUUCAGGAAACUGGUGCUACUACCGGAUAGCAGCUCCUGCUGCAUGGUGGGGGUUGGAAAGUUUCGGCGUUUGGGGAUGGACGCGCGGCUUAUCAGCUUGUUGGUUGGGUAGUGGCUUACCAAGGCUUUGACGGGUAGCCGGCAUGAGAGGGUGAACGGGCACAUUGGGACUGAGAUACGGCCCAGAGGGGAACGGGAGGCAGCAGUGGGGAAUAUUGCACAAUGGGCGGAAGCGUGAUGCAGCAACGCCGCGUGCGGGAUGACGGCCUUCGGGUUGUAAAGCGCUUUAGGCUGUGACGAAGCGUGAGUGACGGUAAUGGGUAAAGAAGCACCGGCUAACUACGUG